CACUUGCCCAGGGAUGGCACCACCCACCAUGGACUGGGCCCUCUCCAUCAAUCGCUAAGAAAAUCCCCUAUAGGGUUUUAUGGAGACAUUUUCUUCGUUGAAGUUCCCUUCCCUCAGAUGACUUUACUUUGUCUCGAGUUGACAUAAAACUGUCUCACACAUAUAUGCCAACAUAUCUGCUUUGAUGCCCCCGAUGCCUUUCUUAGGAUCCUGUCUUUGAGAGGUAGGUACCACAGAGAGACUUGGUCUCCAUUGCAACAUGAUGUUUGAGGAAGCUUCUCUGACUGACAUCCGUGCUCAGACUUAACCAACUUCUUGCUGAAAUCCACUGUGGUCACAAACCCUGAGCUGCACACUGUGCUCUGACUUCCUUGGUGUCCUCUCUUCCCACAGGGCCGUGUAGAAAGAGACCAAGCUCAGAUGGGUGAGCCUUCCUGAGCGCUUGGUCUGGCUGCCUCCUUGGAGACAACAGCCCCUCUCCUAGGCAGGAGAAAUCAAUGGAGAGUGUGGUCUCACCGCACUCACAGGAAAGGGAUGACACUGUGGAAGACUGCAUGGACACUGGGAAAGCCAUUAAGGCGGUGUUGGUGGUGUGGAGACACCAGUGUUGGGACCUUGGUGCUGGGCAGGGCAAGUUUCCCCAGAGAUUCCUCCCUGUGGAGAGACACCCCUUCCUUCAGAGCCCUUCUCCAACGGAAGCUGGUCCUUGGCACCUACCUCUCCUGGAAGACUCGGUUGCUGUCCCAUCUAGAGAUCAUCCUAGAGGAGGCCCAGGCUCCCGGCUUCUGAGACUGCAUCAGAAGCUGGAUCUCUCUCAGCCAACCACAGCUGGCUGUGUCCCUCCUGUGCCUUCAGAUCUUGCGCUGGGUGCUUUCUUCUGAGUUUCUUGUUGGAGGCCACCCUGAGUCCUUGUGUCCCUCUAGGCCUGGACCCUUGGAAGCUCACGUUCUCUCUCCUAUUGCACAAUGUCACUUGCGACUCGGUUGCAUUCCUUUAUUCUUGGUGUGACACACGGGGGGACUGUCCCCAGCUAGGGCCAGUGUUAGUCCCAGGUGUCCACCAGGGUCACAGUGACUUCUGACUCUAGUUUGUCCACACUGAGCUCUGGUUGUGAGCUCUCCCCCUGCCUCAGUGGAGUGCUCUGGGUCCCGGCUACCUCCAUCAGUCUUAUCCCUGAGAGUUGCACUCUAAGGUACCCGUGGGACUCCCUUUCAGUGAACUGUUCAGUCUUUGUUGCCUCUGCAUGGAUCUCCUUGGCCUCUGUGGCAUUGACUGGAACUUAGCUUUGCUCUCUAGCUGACCAUAAUUAGUGCUUGCAAGUCCCCACAUGCCUUACCUCCCUUAAAUCUAUGAGAUGAAAUGAGAUAAAUGAGAGAUGGCGUUCUCAUCA
rnacentral:sRNA from 1 species